CCUACGGGUGGCAGCAGUGAGGAAUAUUGGUCAAUGGCCGGAAGGCUGAACCAGCCAAGCCGCGUGAAGGACGAAGGUGCCAAGCAUUGUAAACUUCUUUUGUCAAGGAACAAAAUCAGGCUCGAGAGCCUGACCGAGGGUACUUGAAGAAAAAGCAUCGGCUAACUCCGUGCCAGCAGCCGCGGUAAUACGGGGGUUGCGAGCGUUAUCCGGAUUUAUUGGGUUUAAAGGGUGCGUAGGCGGACUGUUACGUCAGCGGUAAAAGCCCGGGACGCAACCCCGGCGAGCCGUUGAAACUGGCGGUCUUGAGAUGUCGAGAGGUAUGCGGAAUGCGCAGUGUAGCGGUGAAAUGCUUAGAUAUUGCGCAGAACUCCGAUUGCGAAGGCAGCAUACCGGCGGCGAUCUGACGCUGAGGCACGAAAGCGUGGGUAUCGAACAGGAUUAGAUACCCCGGUAGUC
rnacentral:rRNA from 1 species